rnacentral:rRNA from 1 species
AACUAACAGAUUUACUUCGGUAAUGACGUUAGGAAAGCGAGCGGCGGAUGGGUGAGUAACACGUGGGGAACCUGCCCCAUAGUCUGGGAUACCACUUGGAAACAGGUGCUAAUACCGGAUAAGAAAGCAGAUCGCAUGAUCAGCUUUUAAAAGGCGGCGUAAGCUGUCGCUAUGGGAUGGCCCCGCGGUGCAUUAGCUAGUUGGUAAGGUAAAGGCUUACCAAGGCGAUGAUGCAUAGCCGAGUUGAGAGACUGAUCGGCCACAUUGGGACUGAGACACGGCCCAAACUCCUACGGGAGGCAGCAGUAGGGAAUCUUCCACAAUGGACGCAAGUCUGAUGGAGCAACGCCGCGUGAGUGAAGAAGGUUUUCGGAUCGUAAAGCUCUGUUGUUGGUGAAGAAGGAUAGAGGUAGUAACUGGCCUUUAUUUGACGGUAAUCAACCAGAAAGUCACGGCUAACUACGUGCCAGCAGCCGCGGUAAUACGUAGGUGGCAAGCGUUGUCCGGAUUUAUUGGGCGUAAAGCGAGCGCAGGCGGAAGAAUAAGUCUGAUGUGAAAGCCCUCGGCUUAACCGAGGAACUGCAUCGGAAACUGUUUUUCUUGAGUGCAGAAGAGGAGAGUGGAACUCCAUGUGUAGCGGUGGAAUGCGUAGAUAUAUGGAAGAACACCAGUGGCGAAGGCGGCUCUCUGGUCUGCAACUGACGCUGAGGCUCGAAAGCAUGGGUAGCGAACAGGAUUAGAUACCCUGGUAGUCCAUGCCGUAAACGAUGAGUGCUAAGUGUUGGGAGGUUUCCGCCUCUCAGUGCUGCAGCUAACGCAUUAAGCACUCCGCCUGGGGAGUACGACCGCAAGGUUGAAACUCAAAGGAAUUGACGGGGGCCCGCACAAGCGGUGGAGCAUGUGGUUUAAUUCGAAGCAACGCGAAGAACCUUACCAGGUCUUGACAUCUAGUGCCAUUUGUAGAGAUACAAAGUUCCCUUCGGGGACGCUAAGACAGGUGGUGCAUGGCUGUCGUCAGCUCGUGUCGUGAGAUGUUGGGUUAAGUCCCGCAACGAGCGCAACCCUUGUUAUUAGUUGCCAGCAUUAAGUUGGGCACUCUAAUGAGACUGCCGGUGACAAACCGGAGGAAGGUGGGGAUGACGUCAAGUCAUCAUGCCCCUUAUGACCUGGGCUACACACGUGCUACAAUGGGCAGUACAACGAGAAGCGAGCCUGCGAAGGCAAGCGAAUCUCUGAAAGCUGUUCUCAGUUCGGACUGCAGUCUGCAACUCGACUGCACGAAGCUGGAAUCGCUAGUAAUCGCGGAUCAGCACGCCGCGGUGAAUACGUUCCCGGGCCUUGUACACACCGCCCGUCACACCAUGGGAGUCUGCAAUGCCCAAAGCCGGUGGCCUAACCUUCGGGAAGGAGCCGUCUAAGGCAGGGCAGAUGACUGGGGUGAAGUCGUAACAAGGUAGCCGUAGGAGAACCUGCGGCUGGAUCACCUCCUUUCUAAGGAA